UCUCAUCACACUUCAGUUCUAACCGGUCCUUUCUCUCAACUUUAACAUUCUCUCUUUCUCUUAACAAGAAUUGCAUCAACACAAAUUGAGAAAAUUCUUUUGGACUUGUUCUUCACCUUUUUCCUCUCUUAAGUCAAGAAAGGUAUAUUCUUUCAUGGUUUCACUUUUAAACUCUCUUUAAGGGAUGAACAUAAUACUUGAUACCUCAUGAUAGUUGGUCAUGUAGAGUUGGUUUUUGUGAGUUUAUUGGGGUGAUUAACACUUGUUGGAAUAAUUAUGUGGUCAUGGGUGCCUUGUUUCACUAGUUUGAUUCAUGAUCCUCUCUUAAAUGAAACUAGUGCACCAUGUGCUUGAUAAAUGUCCAUUAAAGCCUUUCUUGCUUAUUUUUUUAUGGUGGGUGGCUCAAGUACGAUAGUAUGAACAUCUUGAAUAAGUUUGGAGAUGAUGUGGUGAGAUGAGCUUGCUCUCUUGUGCUCUUAUUCUCUUUCUCUAAGUUCUUGGUUGGCAUGCCCACUAUGUGUUUGUUGAAAUGACAAUAAGAGAGAAAUGUGUUGUAUGCUUGUAAUGGCCAAUAUGAAUUUCCUUAGGGCAUGGUGUGGUCAUUUUUCAUGCAUCGUUCUGAGUCCAAUUAAACCUAAUAAUGAAAUAGUUGGUAGUCAUAGGUUGAGGGAGAUUGUUGAGAAAUACGGCAUCCAUGAUUCUUGUUGGUCACUAAGCCUAACCGGGAAACAUGAAUGUUUGCCUUGUCCUAUGAUAGAUUGGAUGACAUUAUUCUUAAGGGUAUUGGUCAUUCUUGUUUCCAUUGGAGGUUACAGAUGCCCUAUGAGCUAGUUUUGAGAAGUAUGAAGAAUGUGAGACAAUGUCAUGCCUAAAUGAUUAGGUGUUGUAAUAAAUGAAACCCAUGGACUCUAGUGAUGAGUUACCUUGCACCCUAUUUUCUUUUCCUAUCUUUAUUUUUAUUUCCGUUCUUAACUUAUAAAAUCCAAAAACAUGUUUUACCUUUUGUCUUUUGUUUUGGUUUUGUUUUGUUUCUUUAUCAUAGGUAUGUCUUCAAGAAAAAAUUUACCAUGAGAAAUUAUCCAAGGAUGAUGAGUUACCCUUUAUAGUAGACUCGAUGAGGGAUCCUAGUCUGACGAGGCUCCUAUUGAGACAGUACAAUCAUUCACCGACAUGGACCCGAGUGCCUAGUGCGCCACAGAGAGUCUUUACCCUCUUUUACUCUCUUUUAUUUCUGUAUUGGGGACAAUGCAAUAUUUUUAGUGGGGGUGAGGUAUCGUUAUGAUUCAUUUGAUGGUCGGUAUCUACUGUCUCAUUUUAUGGCAUGUGGCUUGAUAAAUUGUGGAGACAUAUUCUAUUUUAUUACUUUGAAUUUGUGCCAUGCGCUUAAUUUAAAUGUGGUAUCCG
rnacentral:lncRNA from 1 species